rnacentral:rRNA from 1 species
AGUCGAACGAACUCUUCGGAAUUAGUGGCGGACGGGUGAGUAACACGUGGGAACGUGCCUUUAGGUUCGGAAUAACUCAGGGAAACUUGAGCUAAUACCGGAUGUGCCCUUCGGGGGAAAGAUUUAUCGCCUUUAGAGCGGCCCGCGUCUGAUUAGCUAGUUGGUGAGGUAAAGGCUCACCAAGGCGACGAUCAGUAGCUGGUCUGAGAGGAUGAUCAGCCACAUUGGGACUGAGACACGGCCCAAACUCCUACGGGAGGCAGCAGUGGGGAAUCUUGCGCAAUGGGCGAAAGCCUGACGCAGCCAUGCCGCGUGAAUGAUGAAGGUCUUAGGAUUGUAAAAUUCUUUCACCGGGGACGAUAAUGACGGUACCCGGAGAAGAAGCCCCGGCUAACUUCGUGCCAGCAGCCGCGGUAAUACGAAGGGGGCUAGCGUUGCUCGGAAUUACUGGGCGUAAAGGGAGCGUAGGCGGACAUUUAAGUCAGGGGUGAAAUCCCGGGGCUCAACCUCGGAAUUGCCUUUGAUACUGGGUGUCUUGAGUAUGAGAGAGGUGUGUGGAACUCCGAGUGUAGAGGUGAAAUU